GCCGCUGUAGCUCAACGGAUAGAGCAGUUCCCUUCUAAGGAAAAGGUUGAGUGUUCGAUUCACUCCAGCGGCACAA
rnacentral:tRNA from 1 species